UACGGAGGGUGCGAGCGUUGCUCGGAAUCACUGGGCGUAAAGCGUACGCAGGCGGUUUGUUAAGUCGGGUGUGAAAGCCCAGGGCUCAACCCUGGAACUGCAUUCGAUACUGGCAGACUUGAGUACGGGAGAGGAAAGCGGAAUUCCUGGUGUAGAGGUGAAAUUCGUAGAUAUCAGGAGGAACACUCGUGGCGAAAGCGGCUUUCUGGCCCGAUACUGACGCUCAUGUACGAAAGCGUGGGGAGCAAACAGG
rnacentral:rRNA from 1 species